UGAGGACACAGGGAGAAGGCGGCCAUCUGUGAACCAGGAAGCUGGCCCUCACUAGACACCCAAUCUGUCGGCACCUUGACCUUGGACUUUUCAGCCUCCAGAACCGUAAUGAUGACUGUGCCAGGCACUGUGCCAGCACUCGGAGAUGCCAGAGUGGGCAAACCCAUCAGUCUCUGCCUCACGGGCCCCUGGCUAAGGAGUCACACAACCAGGUACUUCCAGCCUUAAACUAUAGCUUGGAGGAGGCUCAGUUAAGGCUACUGCCAGAGCGCGCGUCGAGGAAAAGUGUGCUCUGAAAUGGUUAGAACUUGUGCCUCCCCCAACCCAGCGUGGAAGUGUGACUUCACCUCCCGUACCAUGCACAAAAGAACCCGAUGCUGGAGAAUCCAACCUGCCAGCGAUGUCCUUGUGGUCCCCAGAAUACAAAUACAGCUUCUACUCUGACUUCAA